UACGAAGGGAGCUAGCGUUGUUCGGAAUCACUGGGCGUAAAGCGCACGUAGGCGGAUGUGUCAGUCAGGGGGUGAAAUCCCGGAGCUCAACUUCGGAACUGCCUUUGAUACAGCACGUCUUGAGUCCGAUAGAGGUGGGUGGAAUUCCUAGUGUAGAGGUGAAAAUUCGUAGAUAUUAGGAAGAACACCGGUGGCGAAGGCGGCCCACUGGAUCGGUACUGACGCUGAGGUGCGAAAGCGUGGGGAGCAAACAGG
rnacentral:rRNA from 1 species